rnacentral:rRNA from 1 species
GAUGAACGCUGGCGGCAUGCCUAAUACAUGCAAGUCGAACGGACCGAAGGGAAAGCUUGCUUUUUCUGAAGUCAGUGGCGAACGGGUGAGUAACACGUAGGUAACCUGCCCAUGUGCCCGGGACAACGCCUGGAAACGGGUGCUAAAACCGGAUAGGUAGAGAGAUCGCAUGAACUUUCUAUUAAAGGGGCUACGGCCCUGAACAUGGAUGGACCUGCGGUGCAUUAGCUAGUUGGUGAGGUAACGGCCCACCAAGGCGACGAUGCAUAGCCGACCUGAGAGGGCGAACGGCCACAUUGGGACUGAGACACGGCCCAAACUCCUACGGGAGGCAGCAGUAGGGAAUUUUCGUCAAUGGGGGGAACCCUGAACGAGCAAUGCCGCGUGAGUGAAGACGGUCUUCGGAUUGUAAAGCUCUGUUGCGAGAGAAAAACGACACGGAUAGGGAAUGAU